GCUAGGUGUGGUGGUGCAUGCCUGUAAUCCCAGCUACUUGGGAAGCUGAGGCAGGAGUAUUAUUGCAAGUUUGAGGCUAAUCUGGGCAAUUUAUUGAGACCCUGUCUCAA
rnacentral:sRNA from 1 species